rnacentral:lncRNA from 1 species
UAAGAUGUGCAAUAAAACUAAGUUUGGGGUGGAAAUCUUGAAAGAGAAGGCAAGUGCAUAAUAAGAGAUCAUACAAAAAGAAAAAUAGUAUGUAUUUUCUUUAAAAAAAAGAGAAAAAAAAGGAGAAAAGAAAAACAAAAGAGAAAAAUGCACUUGCCGAGACUUAAGACUCGAACACAUAUAAAAUGCUCGGAAAAUUUGAGUAGAAAAAGAGUCAAAAGAGUGAAGUUAACCCCCAGAGUAUACGUGAUGCACGAGAAAAAGAGAAAGAAAAAAUCACACAACAUGACUACCGAGUUCAAAACCCUUUGUUAUCCAUUUUUUUGUUUAUCCCACCGUACCC